rnacentral:rRNA from 1 species
UACGGAGGGAGCUAGCGUUGUUCGGAAAUACUGGGCGUAAAGCGCACGUAGGCGGCGCAGCAAGUCAGGGGUGAAAUCCCGGGGCUCAACCCCGGAACUGCCCUUGAAACUGCAGUGCUAGAAUCUUGGAGAGGCGAGUGGAAUUCCGAGUGUAGAGGUGAAAUUCGUAGAUAUUCGCAAGAACACCAGUGGCGAAGGCGGCUCACUGGCCCGGUACUGACGCUGAGGUGCGAAAGCGUGGGGAGCAAACAGG